GUGGGGAAUUUUGGACAAUGGGCGCAAGCCUGAUCCAGCAAUGCCGCGUGCAGGAAGAAGGCCUUCGGGUUGUAAACUGCUUUUGUACGGAACGAAACGGUCCUGGUUAAUACCUGGGGCUAAUGACGGUACCGUAAGAAUAAGCACCGGCUAACUACGUGCCAGCAGCCGCGGUAAUACGUAGGGUGCAAGCGUUAAUCGGAAUUACUGGGCGUAAAGCGUGCGCAGGCGGUUUUGUAAGACAGGCGUGAAAUCCCCGGGCUCAACCUGGGAAUUGGGCUUGGGACUGCAAGGCUGGAGUGCGGCAGAGGGGGAUGGAAUUCCGCGUGUAGCAGUGAAAUGCGUAGAUAUGUGGAGGAACACCGAUGGCGAAGGCAAUCCCCUGGGCCUGCACUGACGCUCAUGCACGAAAGCGUGGGGAGCAAACAGGAUUAGAAACCCGGGUAGUCC
rnacentral:rRNA from 1 species